AGCUGGGGCCAUAUGAACCUAUAAGUACCGCAUCCCGUCCCGAUCUGCGAAGUCAAGCAGGUUACAGCUCGGUUAGUACUAUGAUGGGAGACCACAUGGGAAUACCGGGUGUCCCAGCUU
rnacentral:rRNA from 11 species